GACGAACGCUGGCGGCGUGCCUAAUACAUGCAAGUCGAACGCAGUGGGGACGGGUGAGUAACACGUGGGUAACCUCCCAUCAGAGGGGAUAACACUUGGAAACAGGUGCUAAACCGAUACUGAUGUAUGGACCCGCGUGGCUGUAGCUAGUUGGUGAGGUAACGGCUCACCAAGGCCACGAUGCGUAGCUGACUUGAGAGGGUGAAGGGGCACACUGGGACUGAGACACGGCCCGGACUCCUACGGGAGGCAGCAGUGGGGAAUAUUGGGCAAGGGGGGCAACCCUGACGCAGCCAUGCCGCGUGAAUGAAGAAGGCCUUCGGGUUGUAAAGUUCUUUCGGUGAAGAGGCGUUAAUCACAGAAGAAGCACCGGCUAACUCCGUGCCAGCAGCCGCGGUAAUUC
rnacentral:rRNA from 1 species